UACGUAGGGUGCAAGCGUUAAUCGGAAUUACUGGGCGUAAAGCGUGCGCAGGCGGUGAUGUAAGACAGUUGUGAAAUCCCCGGGCUCAACCUGGGAACUGCAUCUGUGACUGCAUCGCUGGAGUACGGUAGAGGGGAUGGAAUUCCGCGUGUAGCAGUGAAAUGCGUAGAUAUGCGGAGGAACACCGGUGGCGAAGGCGGCCAUCUGGCUCGGUACUGACGCUCAGGCACGAAAGCGUGGGGAGCAAACAGG
rnacentral:rRNA from 1 species